rnacentral:rRNA from 1 species
GACUAACGCUGGCGGCGUGCCUAACACAUGCAAGUCGAACGAAGUAGCAAUACUUAGUGGCAGACGGGUGAGUAACACGUGGUCAACCUACCUCAGCGUGGGGGAUAACUAGCCGAAAGGUUAGCUAAUACCGCAUACGAUCGCUAAGUGGCAUCACAUGGCGAUGAAAGGAGCAAUCCGCGCAGAGAGGGGACUGCGUCCCAUUAGUUAGUUGGUGGGGUAACGGCCUACCAAGACUCCGAUGGGUAGCUGGCUUGAGAGAGCGACCAG